UUAAACUUGCCAAUAUUUUACAUUGUCACUUACAAUUCAAUGUCUCCGUGAACAAUUUCCAGGUACAGUUGUAACUGUACUCUUUUCACAAUACAGUUCCUUAAUUACUGGUGUGACUUGUCAAUAAUUUUUUCACCAGAUAUACACAAUAACAUAAAUCAAGUCUUGCUGCACUUCAUAUUUAAAUGCAAUAAUCUUAAAGUUAAAGCAUCCUCACAUAAUAAGCUGUUAAAUAAAUAAAAUAAUCAUGCAAGAAGGUUAAAAGUAAAAUAGUUUGUCUUAAUUGUAUAAACAGAAGCUUCCAUGUCUUAGUGAUAAAGUGCUUUUAAAUGCAUUCAUAGUGUUUAAUUCUAUGAAUCACAUUCAGUUGCCUUUUUUUCAGGGCUAUGAGUCUUAUGAGCCAAGCUAUGAAUUUGAAGCAGCCUACCCGGAACAUGGUGAAGCAGUAUACUAUGAAUAUGGCCAGCCAGGAGAGGUUUUUGAUGCAACUUUUGCAGGUA